rnacentral:rRNA from 1 species
UACGUAGGGGGCAAGCGUUGUCCGGAUUUAUUGGGCGUAAAGCGCUCGCAGGUGGUCCGUCGCGUCGUGCGUGAAAGACCCCGGCUCAACUGGGGAGGGUCGUGCGAUACGGGCGGACUGGAGGCCAGUAGGGGGAUGCGGAAUUCCGGGUGUAGUGGUGGAAUGCGUAGAGAUCCGGAGGAACACCAGCGGCGAAGGCGGCAUCCUGGACUGGUCCUGACACUCAUGAGCGAAAGCGUGGGGAGCAAACAGG